rnacentral:rRNA from 1 species
CGGAGGGUCCAAGCGUUGUCCGGAAUCACUGGGUGUAAAGGGUGCGCAGGCGGGCCUGUAAGUCAGAGGUGAAAGCCACCGGCCUAACCGGUGAACUGCCUUUGAUACUGCAGGUCUUGAGUCCCGGAGAGGCUAUCGGAAUUCGUAGUGUAGCGGUGAAAUGCGUAAAUAUCACGAGGAACACCGGAUGCGUAAGCGGAUAGCUGGACGGUACUGACGCUCAGGCACGAAAGCGCGGGGAGCGAACAGGAUU